rnacentral:lncRNA from 1 species
AAAAUUGUUCUUUGGUGCUAUAAUAGCUACAAAUACAUAUGUUUUAUUGGUAACUAGUUUCUAUUAGUAUGCUAACUAGUCAUCCAUUACAUAGUAAUUGGAGUUAUAUCCUCUCAACAACAUCGAAUGCAUGAGCCUUUAUCGCAAAUGCAACAUUUGGUUUUGCAUUGUGAUGCAAAAGCGCAACCUGCAAUUCACGAAACAAACAUAUUUCAUAUACAAUAGAUACAAAAAAUAAAGACUUUCAUUAUAAAGGCUGUAAACCUAACAGAAGAAAGUCGAAUCUACGAAUUUUGAAACCAAAAAUACACAUUUGGAAUCAUGAUUAUAAAAAUAAUUAUAUACUCAUAAGAAAAAUUUGAAUCUAUUAGUGCCAAAAGCGUAAUUUCAAAAAAAAAAAAAAAACUUAUCUUGAAAUUUCAACAUCAAACAUCAAUUUCAAAUAUCCCCUAGGAAUAUAUUUUUGUGUUAUUUAGUGUCUUUGAUGAUGUAUCAAUUCUUAAGUUAUGCAAAUUUUAGUUUUAAUUAUCGAUGGAAGAAUGAAAAAUGAAAGAAAAAAUAAAAAUAGAAAUAAAAUUAGAUAUACCUGUAAUAGAUACACGAGUGCUACGACUUGCAGCAGAUAGUUCUAGUGAUGUUGUUGGUGAUGUUGCUUCUGGUGCGUAUGAUAGCUCCGAUACAUAUGAUGGUUUUGGUGCAUACGAAGACUCUGGCACCCCUUGAGUUAAUGAAAAAAGAACAAACAUGACAAAAAUCAUGUAAACCAAAACAUUGGUUGAUUUUGUCAUCUUAAACAACUAUACUUGUUAUGCCACUCUUGUUUGUUCCUCUUAGUUUUUU